GGCUUUCUGGCCCAAUGGUCAAGGCGCUUGCCUACGAAGCAAGAGAUUCCAGGUUCGAGUCCUGGGAAGGUCG
rfam:Melampsora larici-populina 98AG31 unplaced genomic scaffold MELLAscaffold_167, whole genome shotgun sequence.